rnacentral:rRNA from 1 species
UUUAUGGAGAGUUUGAUCCUGGCUCAGGAUGAACGCUGGCGGCGUGCCUAAUACAUGCAAGUCGAGCGAACGGACGAGAAGCUUGCUUCUCUGAUGUUAGCGGCGGACGGGUGAGUAACACGUGGAUAACCUACCUAUAAGACUGGGAUAACUUCGGGAAACCGGAGCUAAUACCGGAUAAUAUUUUGAACCGCAUGGUUCAAAAGUGAAAGACGGUCUUGCUGUCACUUAUAGAUGGAUCCGCGCUGCAUUAGCUAGUUGGUAAGGUAACGGCUUACCAAGGCAACGAUGCAUAGCCGACCUGAGAGGGUGAUCGGCCACACUGGAACUGAGACACGGUCCAGACU